rnacentral:rRNA from 1 species
UACGUAGGGGCUAGCGUUGUUCGGAAUUAUUGGGCGUAAAGCGCGUGUAGGCGGCUUGCAAGUCGGGUGUGAAAGCCCUCGGCUCAACCGAGGAAGUGCGCCCGAAACUGCAGAGCUUGAGUACCGGAGAGGAUGGCGGAAUUCCCCAAGUAGAGGUGAAAUUCGUAGAUAUGGGGAGGAACACCGGUGGCGAAGGCGGGUGCUGGGCGU